AUUGAACGCUGGCGGCAGGCCUAACACAUGCAAGUCGAACGGUAACAGGAAGAAGCUUGCUUCUUUGCUGACGAGUGGCGGACGGGUGAGUAAUGUCCGGGAAACUGCCCGAUGGCGGGGGAUAACUACUGGAAACGGUAGCUCAUACCGCAUAUCGUCGCAAGACCAAAGAGGGGGACCUUCGGGCCCCUUGCCAUCGGAUGUGCCCAGAUGGGAUUAGCUAGUAGGUGGGGUAACGGCUCACCCAGGCGACGAUCCCUAGCUGGUCUGAGAGGAUGACCAGCCACACUGGAACUGAGACACGGUCCAGACUCCUACGGGAGGCAGCAGUGGGGAAUAUUGGACAAUGGGCGCAAGCCUGAUGCAGCCAUGCCGCGUGUAUGAAGAAGGCCUUCGGGUUGUAAAGUACUUUCGGCGGGGAAGAAGAGAAGAAAGUUAAUACCUUGACUCAUUGACGGUACCCGCAGAAGAAGCACCGGCUAACUCCGUG
rnacentral:rRNA from 1 species